GUGGGAGGGAGGGAGGGAGGGAGGGCGGCCUGUCAUCAAUCACCCGCAAAACGCCAGUGGGAAAAGGCAAAAGCAGAUAAAACAAAGGGGGGAUUCCGCUUCCAGCCCCAUAAGGCGCGGCGCUGUCCCAGAUGACCCAUCCUGCGGCAUCUUUCGAGCUUCCUGCGAAAAGCGAGCGAUGGGAGCAAUCGUGUGCUGGUGUGAGAGUUGCCUUUAGGGCAGAUAAAAUGGGAUCAAGCAGUCUCCUCGUCUCUCGGAGACGCUGGGCGAGAACGAAACCCUUCCCCGUGCUUAACGUGCGAGGGAUGAUUCAACUGGUGGCCUUGAAAGCUUCAGGUCGGCUUGUGUAAUUGUGUCAAUUAAAAAUCAACCGAGUUCGUUUUACCAAUGAGUACGAAGAGAAGAAAGGAAUGAAUCUUGGCUGGGCACGCAGGACUGAUUGGCCCUUCCUAUGGUUAGUCUAGUGGGUGGCUUCCAGUAAUGCACUUAAGAACGUUUAUGCUUGCAGCCAUGAGUGGUUGCAGUGAUGAGGUAUAGGUCUGUGUCCUUUGUGUGCAGGAAAAAGCCCUCUGUAAUUGUUACAAUAGAAUUCCUUCUGCUGUUGCAUUCAUUAUGCCCUUCUGUACAGAAGUUUGCCCCGGAUAGCUGCCAGUGUUGACCAGGCAGUAAGUUAGAAUGCACUUCCAGACUGUCAUCUCCCCCAUGUCCCUUGUUUCAGUAUUCUUACUUCUGAAAGCUGUACAGUAGAACGCUUCUUUUUCUUUAUGGGUUUACAAAAAAAAAGCUCCUAGGGAAGUGUAUAGAGGGCAUACAAAGUACUUACACUUGGCAUCAGUGCGUUGAUAUUUUUUGAACCUCUAGGAAAAGAUCUUGAAUGAGUCAGCGGUCUGGGAUGAGAGCUGUGAUGGAUUACACUCCCUGGUACAGUGAGGCAUUAUACAUGCUUUGAGAUAGAUCUUUCAGAUCAGAAAUCACUUGAUUCUUUCUAGAAGAUAAGCGUUGCUUUAUUGCCAUGAUUUAUUUUGGCUUGUUUCUUCAGGAUUUGGAAAGCUUAGGUUAUGAAUAUUUAAUAUAAAUAUUGUCUGGCCAGUACACGUUUAUUGCUGAAAGGAGACAAAUCAAUAAAAUUUUCAGCAGAGAUUAUACCUACAGCAGUAUUUGAGGUAAUGCCUCCUUUCCUAUCUUAAUGAUUGAAGCCCUUAAAAACUAAAUUGUUACUGCACUUCAGCAGAUACAGGCCUCUCUUGAAAAAAUUAGAGGUGGAGGUUGUAAUCCAUGCGAAAGGUGGUUCUGCACUGACGAGGAUGUUUUAUAUAGAAGGAAUCAUAUAAAGUAAUGAGAAGUGAAGGGCACUGAAUCAAAAUGUCUCUUUAGAGCACCGAAUGCUCCUGAGCAAAGCUGGAUGUGUUUGCAGGUUGGGCACAUUUACAUGGCUUUUGUGUAAAAGCUCCCUCUGGUUUCUGUUAAAAGGAAAAAAAAACCUUUAUGCAGUGCUAGUGCAAAUGUCACCAUAAAGGAGCUUGCUUGCUUUUUCCUUCUGGUUGAAUUUAGGGGUAUAAUGACGUUGGGUAUAUUUUAUUUCAGCCAUCAGCAGACAAAACAGAGCUUAUCAUUUUAAAGGGGCCACAAAGAUUUUGUGGGAUUCAUCCAAUCUAAUUUUGUAAACGUAUAUCUGACCUAAUAAUUUGUGGUAUUCUUGAUAGUCAGUUGGAAGAAAUAGCUGGUUUGUUCUAGAGCUCUGCCCAGGGUUGAGGCAAAGCCUGCUUUAGAAAUAUGUAUUGCUUCCCAUUGACUGUAAAAUGAAUUUAUGUGGCCAUCUCUGAUGCAAAUGUCUCCAUUUGGGUCAGAUAAAUCUUGCCCUCUGUCUGAAAAGAAUUCCAGUCUGAUUUUCAAAGUGUUCCCAACUGAGUCACUGUUCUGUUCGGUUUUAUAUUGAGAAAUUGAGUAACAAUAGCUAGAAUUCAGUUGACUUCACUUACGGUUUUGUCUGGGUGUAGCUGUAAUGCUAAGAUUACCAACACAUAAAAGGUAUCUGACUGAAUUUUAUUUAAGGAAAAUUAUGUUGGUAUGAAACCAGAGGUAUGGCUGUAAAGCCAGAUGCCAGUGCUUCAUUUUAACUUCAUGUUAAAGUUUUUUUUCAACCUAAUACCGUGUUGUGGUACUGUUUAACUUAUCAGCACCAGAACUGCUUAGCACAUGGUUAAUCAUUUCAGGAAUGAAUUAUCUGGAAGCAGAAUACAAAUUGAUUGGGGGGGGGGGGGGGGCUGAGAACCACGAACAGUGUGGGCAGUCAGAUGAGAAAACAGCUGUCUUUGUGGAGUGCUCACAGACAAAUAAACGAUAAGUCUGCUUGAGACAGGGAAGGCUUAUUCAAGAUGAAAUUUAUCUCUCACAAGAGUGCUUUAAUAUUUUGUGGUUAUUUGAACAGCUGUUAGGUCACUUCCAGUUUCUCAAUGAGUUUGGCAGCCAAGCUGUAAUUGUGGCUUCACCAUCUAUGUUUUCUGUGGAAUUGACCUUAUGCUUACUUGAGCAUACUGUGAGUACAUUUGGUAAGUUUUGGUUAGCAUUGUUUGCAUCUAGAAUUAUCUUCUGAAAAGUAUGCUUGCCAUGAGGACGGCCUGAUCCUGAAGGAGUGUCUCCUCUGAGGAGUUCUCUCCUGGUCGGAUCCUACAUAUGAGUUUGACUUUGGUGCAAAUUUUGGCUAUGGUUUUACCCUGAAGAAAGAUUGCAUUUCGGGCAAUAAACUCUUAUGAACAUGAAUAAAAUAUUUAAUACAAUAUUAAUAUAAAUAUGUGGAUAAAUGACAUUCAAUCCUUUCUUGAAUUGAAAGGCACAGGUCCGUGUUAGGAAGCCUGCUUGUCUGGGUAUUUCUGCGACAGAAGCAGCAGUGGGAAAUGCAGUCCAAAUAAAACCAUCCGGCCAAGGGUGAGAGGGGAUAAUGUUGGCAGGAGCUGAAAUCUCCUCGUCCAUGAUACACAGUAGCUGAGAAGACAAACCCAGCCCAGCAGCUUUCUUGCAUACUACUAUUUCAAAACCAGAGGUUAAAUUGCAGCCAGAACCUUGUAGAAUCCAGAAGAAUGUUGUAUUUAAAAACAGUUUGUGAAAUCUCUUAAAAAUCCCCAAGCAAGCUCUUGCAUCUGUGUGUGCAAUGCUUCUCUCCAUCUGAAACAUUCAUCUGCUUGAACGUUUCCCCAGUAACUCACUGGUGUUGCAAACCAAAAACUGGAUGGGUGGGGUUAUUGAGAAUAGUCUUCACCUCGGGUCACUGGCUGAAAGCCAAGCGGAGAUAAUGUCAAAAAUCUGACAGUGUAUGGAAACUCCUGAAGUUAUGCACUGCUUAGGAAUGGGCGGGCAUAAUUGGUGUUUGCUGCUUUAAGGGCAGCCUCUUGGCAAAUGCCUCUGGUUGGAGAUGGCAAAGAGGGGGGUGGAAGAGCCUGUCUUCUGGGAGAUGACCGAAUAUUUACAAACAGAAAAUAGUCAGAUGUCUUCAAUACAAGGCCUUUGUCUCUCACAGAAUAAUCUGAGAAGUGGACUAAUUAGCACUAAUUUUCAAAGUUAGGCAAGAAAAUGACUGUGCCCUUUUUGAGUAGGAAGAGCCGUUGGCCUGCCCCAGUGUCCUCACAUGACCUUUCGGUUGUCCUCUUGAGCAAACUUAGAGGGACUUCUCUCUGAAACUUCUGGUUGGGCACUAGCCACGUCCAGGUUUGCAUUUUAGAUGAACAAACGUAGCGGCUUUGCAACGAGGAGUGUAGGUCCUGCAGCGUCUCUUUCUGCCGAAUUUCUGUUUUGUUAACAUUUAUUGGCAUGUGUAUUUAUUGCUAAAUUACCAUGGCAAGAUGCCAGGCUUCUCAUUGUGCUCCAGUUUUGCAGAAACCAUCAGGAUUUUAAAAACAAAACAUUCCCACUCCUU